rnacentral:rRNA from 1 species
CGCGUGGGCAAUCUACCCUCAAGUGGGGAAUAACCUCUCUAACGAGAGGCUAAUUCCGCAUGAGCCCAUUCCCUCGCAUGGGGGAGUGGGGAAAGGCGGGGAUCUUCGGACCUGCCGCUUGAGGAGGAGCCCGCGUCCCAUUAGCUUGUUGGCGGGGUAACGGCCCACCAAGGCAACGAUGGGUAGCCGAUCUGAGAGGAUGACCGGCCACACUGGGACUGAGAUACGGCCCAGACUCCUACGGGAGGCAGCAGUCGAGAGGCUUCGGCAAUGGGGGAAACCCUGACCGAGCGACGCCGCGUGCGGGAAGACAGCUUUCGGGUUGUAAACCGCUGUCAGGAGGGAAGAAUCCCCAUGGGCGAAUACCCCAUGAGUUGACGGUACCUCCAAAGGAAGCUCCGGCUAA